AACGAACGCUGGCGGCGUGCCUAACACAUGCAAGUCGAACGUGAUUGGAAGCUUGCUUCCAUGAAAGUGGCGCACGGGUGAGUAACGCGUCGAUAAUCUGCCUGAUGCUCUGGGAUAACAUUUCGAAAGGGGUGCUAAUACCGGAUAAGCCCACGGGGUCUUCGGACCUUGCGGGAAAAGAGGGGGACCUGCGGGCCUCUCUACAUCCGCGGAGUCUACGUACCAUUAGCUAGUUGGUAGGGUAAAGGCCUACCAAGGCUACGAUGGUUAGCUGGUCUGAGAGGAUGAUCAGCCACACUGGAACUGAGACACGGUCCAGACUCCUACGGGAGGCAGCAGUGGGGAAUUUUGCGCAAUGGGGGGAACCCUGACGCAGCAACGCCGCGUGAGUGAUGAAGGCCUUCGGGUCGUAAAGCUCUGUCAAGAGGGAAGAAAUGCGGGUGGCUAAUAUCCAUUCCGCUUGACGGUACCUCUGGAGGAAGCACCGGCUAACUCCGUGCCAGCAGCCGCAGUAAUAC
rnacentral:rRNA from 1 species